rnacentral:rRNA from 1 species
AAUCCAUAGGUUAAUGAGGCGAACCGGGGGAACUGAAACAUCUAAGUACCCCGAGGAAAAGAAAUCAACCGAGAUUCCCCCAGUAGCGGCGAGCGAACGGGGAGGAGCCCAGAGCCUGAAUCAGCAUGUGUGUUAGUGGAAGCGUCUGGAAAGGCGCGCGAUACAGGGUGACAGCCCCGUACACAAAAGCGCAUGUGCUGUGAGCUCGAUGAGUAGGGCGGGACACGUGGUAUCCUGUCUGAAUAUGGGGGGACCAUCCUCCAAGGCUAAAUACUCCUGACUGACCGAUAGUGAACCAGUACCGUGAGGGAAAGGCGAAAAGAACCCCGGCGAGGGGAGUGAAAAAGAACCUGAAACCGUGUACGUACAAGCAGUGGGAGCACAGGUUUACCUGUGUGACUGCGUACCUUUUGUAUAAUGGGUCAGCGACUUAUAUUCUGUAGCAAGGUUAACCGAAUAGGGGAGCCGGAGGGAAACCGAGUCUUAAUUGGGCGUUAAGUUGCAGGGUAUAGACCCGAAACCCGGUGAUCUAGCCAUGGGCAGGUUGAAGGUUGGGUAACACUAACUGGAGGACCGAACCGACUAAUGUUGAAAAAUUAGCGGAUGACCUGUGGCUGGGGGUGAAAGGCCAAUCAAACCGGGAGAUAGCUGGUUCUCCCCGAAAGCUAUUUAGGUAGCGCCUCGUGAAUUCAUCUCCGGGGGUAGAGCACUGUUUCGGCUAGGGGGCCAUCCCGGCUUACCAACCCGAUGCAAACUGCGAAUACCGGAGAAUGUUAUCACGGGAGACACACGGCGGGUGCUAACGUCCGUCGUGAAGAGGGAAACAACCCAGACCGCCAGCUAAGGUCCCAAAGUCAUGGUUAAGUGGGAAACGAUGUGGGAAGGCCCAGACAGCCAGGAUGUUGGCUUAGAAGCAGCCAUCAUUUAAAGAAAGCGUAAUAGCUCACUGGUCGAGUCGGCCUGCGCGGAAGAUGUAACGGGGCUAAACCAUGCACCGAAGCUGCGGCAGCGACGCUUAUGCGUUGUUGGGUAGGGGAGCGUUCUGUAAGCCUGUGAAGGUGUGUCGUGAGGCAUGCUGGAGGUAUCAGAAGUGCGAAUGCUGACAUAAGUAACGAUAAAGCGGGUGAAAAGCCCGCUCGCCGGAAGACCAAGGGUUCCUGUCCAACGUUAAUCGGGGCAGGGUGAGUCGACCCCUAAGGCGAGGCCGAAAGGCGUAGUCGAUGGGAAACGGGUUAAUAUUCCCGUACUUGGUGUUACUGCGAAGGGGGGACGGAGAAGGCUAUGUUGGCCGGGCGACGGUUGUCCCGGUUUAAGCGUGUAGGUGUGUGUUCCAGGUAAAUCCGGUUCACUUUAACACUGAGGCGUGAUGACGAGGCACUACGGUGCUGAAGUAACAAAUGCCCUGCUUCCAGGAAAAGCCUCUAAGCAUCAGGUAACAUCAAAUCGUACCCCAAACCGACACAGGUGGUCAGGUAGAGAAUACCAAGGCGCUUGAGAGAACUCGGGUGAAGGAACUAGGCAAAAUGGUGCCGUAACUUCGGGAGAAGGCACGCUGACACGUAGGUGAAGUGAUUUACUCAUGGAGCUGAAGUCAGUCGAAGAUACCAGCUGGCUGCAACUGUUUAUUAAAAACACAGCACUGUGCAAACACGAAAGUGGACGUAUACGGUGUGACGCCUGCCCGGUGCCGGAAGGUUAAUUGAUGGGGUCAGCGCAAGCGAAGCUCCUGAUCGAAGCCCCGGUAAACGGCGGCCGUAACUAUAACGGUCCUAAGGUAGCGAAAUUCCUUGUCGGGUAAGUUCCGACCUGCACGAAUGGCGUAAUGAUGGCCAGGCUGUCUCCACCCGAGACUCAGUGAAAUUGAACUCGCUGUGAAGAUGCAGUGUACCCGCGGCAAGACGGAAAGACCCCGUGAACCUUUACUAUAGCUUGACACUGAACAUUGAGCCUUGAUGUGUAGGAUAGGUGGGAGGCUUUGAAGUGUGGACGCCAGUCUGCAUGGAGCCGACCUUGAAAUACCACCCUUUAAUGUUUGAUGUUCUAACGUGGACCCGUGAUCCGGGU